rnacentral:rRNA from 1 species
GUGGGGAAUUUUGGACAAUGGGCGCAAGCCUGAUCCAGCAAUGCCGCGUGCAGGAAGAAGGCCUUCGGGUUGUAAACUGCUUUUGUACGGAACGAAAAGGCUCUGGUUAAUACCUGGGGCUAAUGACGGUACCGUAAGAAUAAGCACCGGCUAACUACGUGCCAGCAGCCGCGGUAAUACGUAGGGUGCAAGCGUUAAUCGGACUUACUGGGCGUAAAGCGUGCGCAGGCGGUUUUGUAAGACAGGCGUGAAAUCCCCGGGCUCAACCUGGGAAUUGCGCUUGUGACUGCAAGGCUGGAGUGCGGCAGAGGGGGAUGGAAUUCCGCGUGUAGCAGUGAAAUGCGUAGAUAUGCGGAGGAACACCGAUGGCGAAGGCAAUCCCCUGGGCCUGCACUGACGCUCAUGCACGAAAGCGUGGGGAGCAAACAGGAUUAGAUACCCGUGUAGUCC